rnacentral:lncRNA from 1 species
GGUCUGCAGGGGGAUUACUGCCUGAAAGUCUUCCAGGAGCCCAACGAGGCAGACAUAGUACCAACAUAUUAAAGUUCUCAAUGGAAGACGCAUUGGUAUCUCAUGCAUCUUCCCUGACCAAAGGCUGGGAUUUUGAAGCGGGCCAUUUCAGGAGUCCCGAUGUCCUUCUCCGGGUCCCUUCGGAUCCGAUCUUGACAUCUUUGUUGUUGCAGAAAUGAAGGAACUGGACUCGAUGGCCCCUCGGGACCCUUCCAGCACCAGACCCAAGUAUCCUGUGAAGCAAAUCAUUGCAGCCAGAGAAGGAAGAGAAGUGGAGAGGAAUCACCCUGAAAAGAAGAGAGAAGUCUGCUUGACCUCAGAAUCACAGGAUCUCUGAGAUGAAAGAGGAUGAACAAAAGCUCUCUCUCCAUGGUAC